UACAGAGGGGGCAAGCGUUGUUCGGAAUUACUGGGCGUAAAGGGCGCGUAGGCGGCCGCCUAAGUCAGACGUGAAAUCCCGGGGCUCAACCCCGGAACUGCCUUUGAUACUGGGUGUCUCGAGUCCGGAAGAGGUGAGUGGAAUUCCGAGUGUAGAGGUGAAAUUCGUAGAUAUUCGGAGGAACACCAGUGGCGAAGGCGGCUCACUGGUCCGGUACUGACGCUGAGGUGCGAAAGCGUGGGGAGCAAACAGG
rnacentral:rRNA from 1 species